CGUUUUAGAAACAUCAGGGCCAACAGAUCGCCAGAUCGUUGAGCUCCAUUGGCGGGAUUUCGCCGUCUACGUUUCUCUUUCUUCGCGGACGAACACGCGCUGGGCCUGCAUGCGCAGGAUCCCAUGGUCCUUAACGGGAUAUGCGUUAGGGGCUUGUAGCUCAGUUGGUUAGAGCGCGCGCUUGAUAAGCGUGAGGUCGGAAGUUCAAGUCUUCCCAGGCCCACCACACUCAUCGAGUGAGCAUUCGUCUUCUGGUUACGGGGCCAUAGCUCAGCUGGGAGAGCGCGUGCUUUGCAAGCAUGAGGUCGUCGGUUCGAUCCCGUCUGGCUCCACCAGAUGGUUUGAUCACCGAGAUCUUGUACCGUCGUCCGCGAAACAUCACUUCGCAUCCUGCUAGUCUGGAUAGACAGCAAGAUGCGUGUUUUCUGACAUCGUAAAGAGGAGAUCGAUCCGAGUUGGGUCGUGUAGCAGAUUGCUGCGCGAGCCUUCAUUAUCUCCGGAUCAUUUCGGCGCUCGCGCGCCUUUCAGUGUAGCUCACAAGGCUGCAUCUGGAAGACGAGCGAGUUGUAAAUGAUCCUUUUAGCGAAGCUUGACCGCCUCGCUAUCGGAACGAUCUUACGAAGCAAGCUGGUCUUUCUAAUCAUUGUCCGGCUGCAGAUAGCGUUCAUCGAGGGCGCGUGCCGCAAGGUAAUUCUGCAGACAACAUUCUGCCGAGUGUGUGGACAUUGAUAAUGAGAGCAAUCAAGUGCCUUAAGGGUGUUCGGUG
rnacentral:tRNA from 1 species